AGGCGGUCGGAUAGCCGCGUCAGGGAAAGGAAAAUCCACUGAUGAGGAAAGUCCGGGCUUCAUGGAAACAAAACACCGGAUAACGUCCGGCUGGAGAAAUCCAAGGGAAAGUGCCGCAGAAAAUUACCGCCGGGCGUGCCCGGUAAGGUUGAAAAGGCGAGGUAAGAGCUCACCGCGGAAUCGGCAACGGUUUCGGCGUUAGGUAAACCCUGUUUGAAGCAAGACCAAGUUAGGAGGGCCGGUUUACUGACCGGUUAUACGGAGCGUUUCCACUCUGCUCCAGAGGUAGGUCGCACUGAGCGGUCCGGCAACGGCUCGCCAAGAUGAAUGGCUAUCAAUUCCAACCUUUGCUUUCGGGCAAAGAUAGUGGGAUACAGAACCCGGCUUACAGACUGCCUGU
rnacentral:RNase_P_RNA from 1 species